rnacentral:rRNA from 1 species
GAUGAACGCUGGCGGCGUGCCUAAUACAUGCAAGUCGAGCGAACAGAUAAGGAGCUUGCUCCUUUGACGUUAGCGGCGGGCGGGUGAGUAACACGUGGGUAACCUACCUAUAAGACUGGGAUAACUUCGGGAAACCGGAGCUAAUACCGGAUAACAUUUGGAACCGCAUGGUUCUAUAGUGAAAGAUGGUUUUGCUAUCACUUAUAGAUGGACCCGCGCCGUAUUAGCUAGUUGGUAAGGUAACGGCUUACCAAGGCAACGAUACGUAGCCGACCUGAGAGGGUGAUCGGCCACACUGGAACUGAGACACGGUCCAGACUCCUACGGGAGGCAGCAGUAGGGAAUCUUCCGCAAUGGGCGAAAGCCUGACGGAGCAACGCCGCGUGAGUGAUGAAGGGUUUCGGAUCGUAAAACUCUGUUAUUAGGGAAGAACAAACGUGUAAGUAACUGUGCACGUCUUGACGGUACCUAAUCAGAAAGCCACGGCUAACUACGUG